UACAGAGGCCUCGAGCGUUAGGCGGAAUCACUGGGCUUAAAGCGUGUGUAGGCGGACUUCUAAGUACCUUGUGAAAUCCCACGGCUUACCCGUGGAACGGCUGGGUAUACUGGUUGUCUUGAGCCACUUAGGGCUACCGGAACAAAUGGUGGAGCGGUGAAAUGCGUAGAUAUCAUUUGGAACGCCAAUGGUGAAAACAGGUAGCUGGGAGUGUGCUGACGCUGAGGAGCGAAAGUGUGGGGAGCGAACAGG
rnacentral:rRNA from 1 species